rnacentral:rRNA from 1 species
AAAUGACUCCCAACAAUGGAUAUCUUGACUCUCGUAUCGAUGAAGAACGUAGCAAAAUGCGAUACUUGGUGUGAAUUGCAGAAUCCCGUGAAUCAUUGAUUUUUUGAACGCAAGUUGCGUCUAAGGCCAAUUAUAGGUUUAAGACAUGCUUGCUUGGGCGUCGUGUG